rnacentral:rRNA from 1 species
UUAAGCGACUAAGCGUACACGGUGGAUGCCCUGGCAGUCAGAGGCGAUGAAGGACGUGCUAAUCUGCGAUAAGCGUCGGUAAGGUGAUAUGAACCGUUAUAACCGGCGAUUUCCGAAUGGGGAAACCCAGUGUGAUUCGUCACACUAUCAUUAACUGAAUCCAUAGGUUAAUGAGGCGAACCGGGGGAACUGAAACAUCUAAGUACCCCGAGGAAAAGAAAUCAACCGAGAUUCCCCCAGUAGCGGCGAGCGAACGGGGAGCAGCCCAGAGCCUGAAUCAGUGUGUGUGUUAGUGGAAGCGUCUGGAAAGGCGCGCGAUACAGGGUGACAGCCCCGUACACAAAAAUGCACAUGCUGUGAGCUCGAUGAGUAGGGCGGGACACGUGGUAUCCUGUCUGAAUAUGGGGGGACCAUCCUCCAAGGCUAAAUACUCCUGACUGACCGAUAGUGAACCAGUACCGUGAGGGAAAGGCGAAAAGAACCCCGGCAAGGGGAGUGAAAAAGAACCUGAAACCGUGUACGUACAAGCAGUGGGAGCACAGAGCAAUCUGUGUGACUGCGUACCUUUUGUAUAAUGGGUCAGCGACUUAUAUUCUGUAGCAAGGUUAACCGAAUAGGGGAGCCGAAGGGAAACCGAGUCUUAACUGGGCGUUAAGUUGCAGGGUAUAGACCCGAAACCCGGUGAUCUAGCCAUGGGCAGGUUGAAGGUUGGGUAACACUAACUGGAGGACCGAACCGACUAAUGUUGAAAAAUUAGCGGAUGACUUGUGGCUGGGGGUGAAAGGCCAAUCAAACCGGGAGAUAGCUGGUUCUCCCCGAAAGCUAUUUAGGUAGCGCCUCGUGAAUUCAUCUCCGGGGGUAGAGCACUGUUUCGGCAAGGGGGUCAUCCCGACUUACCAACCCGAUGCAAACUGCGAAUACCGGAGAAUGUUAUCACGGGAGACACACGGCGGGUGCUAACGUCCGUCGUGAAGAGGGAAACAACCCAGACCGCCAGCUAAGGUCCCAAAGUCAUGGUUAAGUCGGAAACGAUGUGGGAAGGCCCAGACAGCCAGGAUGUUGGCUUAGAAGCAGCCAUCAUUUAAAGAAAGCGUAAUAGCUCACUGGUCGAGUCGGCCUGCGCGGAAGAUGUAACGGGGCUAAACCAUGCACCGAAGCUGCGGCAGCGACACUGUGUGUUGUUGGGUAGGGGAGCGUUCUGUAAGCCUGCGAAGGUGUGCUGUGAGGCAUGCUGGAGGUAUCAGAAGUGCGAAUGCUGACAUAAGUAACGAUAAAGCGGGUGAAAAGCCCGCUCGCCGGAAGACCAAGGGUUCCUGUCCAACGUUAAUCGGGGCAGGGUGAGUCGACCCCUAAGGCGAGGCCGAAAGGCGUAGUCGAUGGGAAACAGGUUAAUAUUCCUGUACUUGGUGUUACUGCGAAGGGGGGACGGAGAAGGCUAUGUUGGCCGGGCGACGGUUGUCCCGGUUUAAGCGUGUAGGCUGGUUUUCCAGGCAAAUCCGGAAAAUCAAGGCUGAGGCGUGAUGACGAGGCACUACGGUGCUGAAGCAACAAAUGCCCUGCUUCCAGGAAAAGCCUCUAAGCAUCAGGUAACAUCAAAUCGUACCCCAAACCGACACAGGUGGUCAGGUAGAGAAUACCAAGGCGCUUGAGAGAACUCGGGUGAAGGAACUAGGCAAAAUGGUGCCGUAACUUCGGGAGAAGGCACGCUGAUAUGUAGGUGAAGUCCCUCGCGGAUGGAGCUGAAAUCAGUCGAAGAUACCAGCUGGCUGCAACUGUUUAUUAAAAACACAGCACUGUGCAAACACGAAAGUGGACGUAUACGGUGUGACGCCUGCCCGGUGCCGGAAGGUUAAUUGAUGGGGUCAGCGCAAGCGAAGCUCUUGAUCGAAGCCCCGGUAAACGGCGGCCGUAACUAUAACGGUCCUAAGGUAGCGAAAUUCCUUGUCGGGUAAGUUCCGACCUGCACGAAUGGCGUAAUGAUGGCCAGGCUGUCUCCACCCGAGACUCAGUGAAAUUGAACUCGCUGUGAAGAUGCAGUGUACCCGCGGCAAGACGGAAAGACCCCGUGAACCUUUACUAUAGCUUGACACUGAACAUUGAGCCUUGAUGUGUAGGAUAGGUGGGAGGCUUUGAAGUGUGGACGCCAGUCUGCAUGGAGCCGACCUUGAAAUACCACCCUUUAAUGUUUGAUGUUCUAACGUUGACCCGUAAUCCGGGUUGCGGACAGUGUCUGGUGGGUAGUUUGACUGGGGCGGUCUCCUCCUAAAGAGUAACGGAGGAGCACGAAGGUUGGCUAAUCCUGGUCGGACAUCAGGAGGUUAGUGCAAUGGCAUAAGCCAGCUUGACUGCGAGCGUGACGGCGCGAGCAGGUGCGAAAGCAGGUCAUAGUGAUCCGGUGGUUCUGAAUGGAAGGGCCAUCGCUCAACGGAUAAAAGGUACUCCGGGGAUAACAGGCUGAUACCGCCCAAGAGUUCAUAUCGACGGCGGUGUUUGGCACCUCGAUGUCGGCUCAUCACAUCCUGGGGCUGAAGUAGGUCCCAAGGGUAUGGCUGUUCGCCAUUUAAAGUGGUACGCGAGCUGGGUUUAGAACGUCGUGAGACAGUUCGGUCCCUAUCUGCCGUGGGCGCUGGAGAACUGAGGGGGGCUGCUCCUAGUACGAGAGGACCGGAGUGGACGCAUCACUGGUGUUCGGGUUGUCAUGCCAAUGGCACUGCCCGGUAGCUAAAUGCGGAAGAGAUAAGUGCUGAAAGCAUCUAAGCACGAAACUUGCCCCGAGAUGAGUUCUCCCUGACUCCUUGAGAGUCCUGAAGGAACGUUGAAGACGACGACGUUGAUAGGCCGGGUGUGUAAGCGCAGCGAUGCGUUGAGCUAACCGGUACUAAUGAACCGUGAGGCUUAACCUU